rnacentral:rRNA from 1 species
CAGCCGCCGCGGGAAUACGUAGGUGGCAAGCGUUGUCCGGAAUUAUUGGGCGUAAAGGGCUCGCAGGCGGUUUCUUAAGUCUGAUGUGAAAGCCCCCGGCUCAACCGGGGAGGGUCAUUGGAAACUGGGAAACUUGAGUGCAGAAGAGGAAAGUGGAAUUCCACGUGUAGCGGUGAAAUGCGUAGAGAUGUGGAGGAACACCAGUGGCGAAGGCGACUCUCUGGUCUGUAACUGACGCUGAGGAGCGAAAGCGUGGGGAGCGAACAGGAUUAGAUACCCGAGUAGUCCCUGUCUCUUAUAC